GCCGGGUGUGGUGAUGCACACCUGUAGUCCCAACUACUCGGGAGGCUGAGGUGGGAGGAUCACUCGAGCCCAGGAGUUUGAGGUUACAGUGAGCCGAGAUGGUGCCACUGCACUCCAGCCUGGACAACAGAGUGAGACCCUGUCUCAA
ensembl:misc_RNA Metazoa_SRP Metazoan signal recognition particle RNA